UUUUUCAACCUCGUUCCCAGGGCUUUUCCCUUUUUGUCAUUGGGAAGGCGGGAAAAGGCCCUGGGAUCGGCUGGUCUUCUAUGUAUUCUGAUUGGUCAAUGACAAGUACAUUAUUAUGGAAAUAAUGCAAUCUUGGAUUAAUUUAUUCAAACUUUGGGAUAAAUUAACAUUUUCACGCAAGGAGUCAGGAGUGUCAUUAUAAAUACUUUUGCCCGUCUAAGAAAUAUUUUUGGCAAAAUCUGUGGCAAAAUGGUUAAAUUCGAUAAGAUUUAUACACAAUUUGUCGAAGGUUAGUAUUAUUGUUUGUUUUAAACUGUGAGAGAAGAUUAAUUGUGAACUAGAACACACCUCUGAGGCUCUGACCGAGUAUUUAGGGAAAUGUGCCUUCAUUGGCUUCGUAUUCUUCGUAUAGCGUUUAUAUUUUAAAAUGUUUUAUGUUUAUGUGUAGUUUUUGAUAUUCUUCAUAGUGGAGUUUAAAUUGGCCUAAUUUAUAGUUAGUUACCACUAGAAAUGCGACGAUAUUUUGGUAUAUCAUAUAUGCAACAAUGUUUACAACUUUUGAAUAAUAUGUGAUUUGGUUUUAUUUCAGAUACUAUUAAAAAAGUGAUUUGCUCAUUUGGCUGAUGUUACAGUUUUCUGAUGUGUUUUGUUUGGAUGAUAUUAGAACAAUUUCAGUAUGAAAGUGCAGGUGUCUUUAGACAUGAGCCAUAAUGUAUAUAUCAAAAUACUUAUAAAAUCCGUUUCCAGCUUGAUUGUAUUUACAUUGUUGCAGACAAAGUUGUGCAAUGGUGGGCUUAUGUCACAUACUCGUAUGUAAUUCCAUGUGCAUGCUUGUACUUUGAUGCCUUAAGAGAUGCUUCAAAUGUGUAAUAAAGGGCUGUUCGCAGGAGUUGGUUUGUCUGGCCUUAAAUUGCAUUGUUUUUAUGUUAUUUUAAUAUUGUAUUCAUAUGGCUAGCUGGACCAUCUUGCCAUUGCCACAAUGUCUGAAGUUCAAGCAGGCGUUAAAAUCAGGUUACAAUUCAUGCUUGAAAAUAUGCAACAAUUUCACUGCUAAUAAUAUUCCAGAAAAUCCUGCCUUUUAGGCAGAUCUGGACUGAUUUGUCUGAGGGGGUUGGAGGUUUUCUACUUGUGAUCGGGCAAGGGGAGCUAGCCAAGGGUGCUGGGUCAGAGUCAAACUCAUGCGAACAGCUUCUAAGGUCCUAAUUAUAUUGAUAAAUUAUGUACACUUUGGGAUGGUAAUGUAUGGUAAAAUAUUCCACAUUUUGUUUAAUAAAAUUUAAUUAUAUACAUUGUUAUUGUUGUUUAUAUUAACACCUUGCAUAUUGGACAGUGUAUAUUUACACCUUAGGACCCUGUAACAAACACCUUUGGAGGGUGUGCCCAUUCUAAGCCAAAGAUGUUUAAGAACAAUUAUCAAGGAAUUUGCAUGAUAAAAUAUAAUUAAAACUGCUCUCUAUAUACAUGUAAUGCAUGGUUCAAUUCUUGCUUUUACCAACUGAAGUAAACCCAGGGACUUUCAAUGUCCCCCUCCUCCCGUAGAAUUCACUUGAAGUGACUGGGGCAAGGUAGCUAUAAGUAUAAGUAGGUAUAAAAGUCAAUUAAUAUUUACAAAUAGAGCUUUUUGAAUAUAGACCAUUGCAAAAAAUUUUUAAAUUUGUUUAACCCGUUAUAUAGUGGCAAUGUGCCCUACUUUAGUAUAUUACCCGUCUGGUGCCAGACAAUUUUACUCAAGGGCAGAAUGUAGACUUGCUGCAAGUCAACCUCGAACAAAAUGUCUGCUCACACUCGCUGCUUGCGUUUCGUUCGAGGUCGACUUGUGGCAAGUCUAAGCAGAAUGCUGCCACUCAAUGAGUUAAUAUAUUCUCAGAACAGUUACCAUCAAAUUAAAUCUAUUUUGCUGCAAAAUUGCCUUGGAGGGGUCCUUGAUUUGUUUAGUUUUUUUUUUGGGGGGGGGUGAGUGUUGUAAAAACAGAAUAGUAACUGGUUUCAGAAGAGGAAGAAUUGUUGUAAUAUACUAUUUAGGUAAUAUAAUUCUAAGACAAAUCAUCCAAAGGAAGCAAUCAUUCUAGCUCUUAUAGUGUAUGUUGCAACAGGGAUGGAUUUACUGGAGGGGGGUGCACCCCCCCCCCCUAGCCCUGCCCAGAGAGGGUGCUAUUUUUCAUGAUAAAGCAAAAAAUUAUUACAGGCAAAAUGAGAUACAGUAAUUUGAGUAAUAACAUGAUGAUAAGCGAUCUGUGAACAACAAUUACAAGUCAAAUACAGUAGUAAAGCAAGACUUUGCAGUGGUGAAGCAAGCUGAUGGGUGGGCGGCACACAUGACCAACACAACUCGGCACCAGAGCUGGUAGAGCACACCCCCCCCCUACCAGAUCAUGCUGGAUCCAUCCCUGUAUUGCAAAAUUUAUUUUCUUCAUAGUCAGGCAUUCACAUGAAUGAAGAUUAGAAUUGCAUCAUGUUAUAUAGUCUUAAAUAUUUAGGAGGGGUCUCCAUUAUUAAAUUAAGAGAUUAAAAAGGGGUCUCGUGACAUUUUGACAUAAGAAUCUCCCACCCCACCCUAGGAUAUAAUGAUGGUCACUUAAAGUACAUGUCAUCUUCUAACUGGUUGGGCACCUUGCCCCUUUUGUUACGGAAAAUCUAUUCCCUACCUUUAUCCCCUGGGACAAAAAAUUCAAAUCAACUCUCCACCCUGAUAAUGUGUAGAUGGUAACAGCAUGAAUUGAAGCAAGCAAGCUUUACUGGAGUACAGGGGCAUAGGAAGCAUCAAACGUUUGGGGGGCACCAGCUUCUAGGGGCACUUUACGGUUUUGAAAAGGGCACCUAAAAAAUUUUUCCCGGAAAUGUUGGCGCCGAAAUUGAUGUUUUUGACCUAAUUUUUUUAAAAAGCUUGGAAAUUUCCAAACAAAAAGGGCACCUAUUGUGUUAAUUUAGUAUUUACAACGACAUUAGCUUGUACAAAUAGGGCACUUUUCGUCACAAAAAAGGGCACUUUUCAUAAAAAAAAGGGCACUUUUCAUAAAAAAAGGGCACUUUUAGUCAUUUGAAAAAAUUGGGGGGGGGGGCACGUGCCUCCCGUGCCCCCCCUUCCUUCUCCACUGCUGGAGUACAUACUAUUAUUAGGAAGCAUCAAUUGCACAUGCUAAUUUGCCAGUCAUGAUUUUAAACGUAAUAUUUCUUAUCUCAUAUAGAAUUCUUAAGUUCUUGUUUACAUUUUACUGGAAGCAAACUAAGAUGCAUAUAUGUCAGUUAUAUACUCCUAUGUCAGUUUUGCAGCUUGCCAGCUUCAACAACAUUUGGCUACAAGGAAAACGUAAACAAGGAAAGAGCAUAUAACACUUAAUCUGUGUUUAAAAUAUCAAUGAAUAAAUAUUCCAACCAUUGGCACUUUAUAAUAUAAGUGACAUUCAACAAUACAUCAAUAACAUAUACAGUACAGUAUAUGCAAAACAUUUCUUUGAAUCACUGUAUAAAAUAUUCCUCAUAAACUCGCUCCAAUCGUCGCACAGCAGUGUCUUUGGAAGGGUAAAACCAAAUUUAACAUCCCCAGUUCAAAACACUUUCCGUAUCCUCUUAGGCAAGCCUGUCCAGCUGGAGAACAUCUGUCGUAAUACUAUAUUUUGGCUGAUAAUUAAUUUUGUUUAGCGAACGAACGAUAUUUUAUACCAAACCCAGUUGGAAGAACAGCAACUACAUAGUUCCCAUGUAAUAAAAGCUGAAGAAUUUGAUUUCGAGUACGUCGGUAGCAAAAAGAAGGAAAAAUUUCCAAGACUAAACGCAUUUUUAAGCCGCUCUAAGCACUUAAAUUUUGUGGACACUCUUAGGUUGGCGGCCAUCUUGGAUUUUCUAAUCAUUAUUAUUAUAAUUUAUAAUACCCACAAAAUGUGGGUAUUUUGAGGUCACGUGACCAGCCGAUCCCAGGGCCUUUUCCCGCCUUCCCAAUGACAAAAAGGGAAAAGCCCUGGGAACGAGGUUGAGUAUUUUUAGUAUUUUUAUUUAUUUGAUUAUUUUGAUUAUUUUUAGUAUUUUGAUUAUUUUGAUUAUUUUGAUUAUUUCUAUUAUUUCUAUUAUUUCUAUUAUUUCUAUUAUUUCUAUUAUUUC
rnacentral:lncRNA from 1 species